AAAUUUAUUUGAAGUUUUCACUAUGUGUAGGGACUGAGAUUUUUUUACAGUGCAACUAAACUCUCUGUUGACGAUGUUUAUGUGUGUAAUUUAAUUACAUAAGCACUCGUCAAGUUUUGGGCGAAAACGAGUUAAAACGGAAAUUCUACGCGAUUUCCAAGUUUCACUUAAAGUGAAUAGUAACUCAAUUUUCCGGAGAAGCCGCGGUGAGAAGUUGGCUUCUGGCUCGUACCGGACUCUAUUCAUAGCAGUCCAAUAGCUCGUUUCGACCGGGUCAGCUGUUCUGGAACCAAUGGCGCUGACGGAUUUUGAGUUUGACGCACGGAUUUCGAGAAAAUCCAAAAAUACAUGUUUUAUAUGUAUUUUUGUNUAUGAAACAGUUUUCAAAAGAAUUUUUCGUGGAUUUCUAUUUAAACAUUGAAUGUAAAACUGUGAUGUGAAUGGUGAAUGUAUGAAUGUAUAGGUAUCUUUAUAUUCAUUUGGUUGUGGUUGUUUCCUGGCUAUACUCUUGUACUUGUG
rnacentral:lncRNA from 1 species